rnacentral:lncRNA from 1 species
ACCCCAGCCAGCAUGGCCGGCAGGAGCGCACCGCGCUGUCUCCCUCCAGGGAUCCGCACCGCCCUACAAUCCUGCUUUGUGCUGAGAUUGUAGUCCUGCAGGCGUACAACUAACAAGCUGGGUGCAGAUAAGAGACUACAGCUCCCCGCAUCCCAAGCAAAGGUCCCUCCUCUACGGAGCCCCUCCACGCGUCCACUGCGGUUCCGCCGUGCCAAGGGGAGCUUGGCUGUUCACGGGCCUCACCUGCUAGCGAGAAGAUAGCUUGGCCGGGCGGCUGAUCUCACCUUGUAAUUCUGACACUGUGUCUCCCGGGCUUGUCGGCUUCAUGACUUGUGCCCAAAGUUUGAUUUCUCGCAGACCAGGAGGACCCAUUGGACCCCCGGGCUGGCUGCAGGGCCCACACCUGGGUUAGACCUCGCACAGGGACGCUGCUGCCACUGUAAUAAAGCGUGCCUACACGCUUCUGAAACUGGUGUAGGAACAACCUCAGUUCUGUGAAAGGCGGACGCAGCAGGACAGAAUCUCCGUGGACAUCUGUCUGGAGGAGCAAUUUUACUGCGACAUUUUAAAGAAACAAAUUUAAUUGAUUUCCAAGGGUGUCCAUCGCGCUUCCUUCACUGCCUUGAUCAUGUCGGGGUCACCACCUGCGGGGGUUUGUCCUGCAGACCCUGACUCAACGACGGAUGAAUAAUGUACACUGACACAGAUCUUAUGCUUGUCAGUCCUGCUGAGCAUCCAGGCCACUUACAGACUCCAAGAAGAGUCCUGUCAGCCACGGCUCUGACUUGUUGGCCCUCCCGGCAUUUAUUUAGCACACAUUUAAUGACAGAAGUCUCAGGCUGGAAACACUCUUUUUGUAGAACAUACAAAUGGACAUUUCUAAGCACAUUGAGGCCUAUAAUGAAAAAUCAAAUAUCCCACAAUGAAAACUAGAAGGAAGCUAUCUGUGAUAAUGCUUUGUGGUGUAUGGAUUCAUCUCACUGACUGAAACCUGAGUUUUGAUUCACCAGGUUAAAAACGCUCUUUUUGUAGAACCUACAAAAAGACAUUUCUGAGCCCAUUGAGGCCUACAGUGAAAAACCAAGAAUCCCAUAAUACAAUCUAGAAAACAAGCUAUCUAGGAAACUGUUUUGGAUGUGUGGAUUCAUUUAACAGAAUGGAAAUAGUGUUUUGAUUCACCAUGUUUGAAACACUCUUUUUGUGGAAUGCACGAAGAACAUUCUUUGUGGAAGAACAUUGAUGCCUAUAGUGAUUAACCAAAUAUCACGUGAUGCAAACUAGAAACAAGCUAUCUGUGAAAAUGCCUUGCAGCGUAUGGAUUCAUGUCACAGAGUUACACCUAUGUUUUGAUUCAACAGGUUGGAAACAAUCUUUUUGUAGAAUCUACAAAGGAAUAUUUCUGAGCCAAUUGAGUUCUAGAGUGAAAAACAGAAUAUCCUGUGAUAAAAACUAUAAAUAAGCUCUCUGUGAAAUUGCUUUGAGACUGUGGAUGCAUCUUUCAGAGUUAUGCCCUUGCUUAUAUUCAACAGGUUGGAAACACUUUUCUUGUAGAAUCUAUGAAGGGAUAUUUCUGAACCUAUUGAGGCCUAUGGUGAAAAAUUGAAUAUUCUGCGAUAUAAACCAGAAACAAGCUCUCUGUGAAAAUGCUUUUCCAUGUGUGCAUCCAUCUUACAGAGUUAAACGUUUGUUUAGAUUCAACAGGUUGGAAAUACUCUUUUUGUAGAAUCUAUGAAGGGAUAUUUCUGAACUUUUUGAGGCCUAUUGGCAAAAUCCGAAUAUUACGUGAUAAAAACUAGAAACAAGGUAUCAGUGAAAAUGCUUUGUGAUGUGUGGGUUUAUCUCACCAAAUAAAACCUGUGUCUUGAUUCACCAGGUUGGACACACUUUUUUUUCUAUAACCUACAUAGGGCGAUUUCUGAGCCUAUUGAGGUCUAUAGCAAAGCAACAACAACAAAUAUCCUGUCUUAUAAUCUAGAAAGAAGUUAUCUCUGAAAAUACUUUAUGAUGUGUGAAUUCAUCUCACAAAGUUAAACCUUUGUUUUGAUUCAACUGAUUGGAAACACUCUUUUUGUAAAAUCUAUGAAGGGAAAUUUCUGAGCCCAUUUAGGCCUAUAGUGAGAAACAGAAUAUCCCACUGUAAUAAGUAGAAACAAGCUAUCUGUGAAAAUCAUUUAUGGUGGCUGGAUUCAUCUCACCAAAUGAAACCUGUGCUUUGAUUCACCAGUUUGGAAACACUAUUUUUAUAGAAUCUAUGCAGGAAUAUUUCUGAUCCCAUUGAGGCAUAUGCUGAAAAUUCGAAUAUCCCAUGAUAAAAACUACAAACAAGCUAUCUAUGAAAAUGUUUUGUCAUGUGUGGAUUCAUCUCACAGAGUUAAACCUUUGUUUUGAUUCAUCUGUUUGAAAACACGCUUUUUUGUAGAAUCUAAGAAUCAACAUUUCUGAGUGCAUUGAAGCCUAUAGUGAAAAACAAAAUAUCUGAUGAUAAAAACUAGAAACAAGCUAUCUGUGAAAAUGCUUUGUGAUAUGUGGAUUCAUCUCAAAGAAUUAAACUUUAUUUUGAUUCAACAGGCUGGAAACACUGUUUUCGUAGAACCUACAAAAAGACAUUGGGGAGCCCACUGAGUCUUACAGUGAUAAACCAAGGAUCCUGUGAUAAAACUAGAAACAAGCUAUCUGUGAAAAUGCUUUGCAGUUGGUGAAUUUCUUUCAUAGUUAAACCUUUUUUUAUUCAAUACGUUGGAAACACCAUUUUUUAGUGUCUCUAAAGGGACUUUUUCAGCCCUUUGAAACCUAUAGUGAAAAACCAAAUAUCUUGCAAUAAAAACAAAUAAACAAAAAAGAACUACUUAUGAAAAUGCCUUGUGAUGUGUGGAUUCAUCUCACAGAGUUAAACCAUUGUUGUGAUUCAACAGGUUGGAAACAUGCUUUUUGUAGAAUCUACGAGUUGACAUUUCUGAGCCCUCUCUGGGUUAUGGUGAAAACGAAAUAUCCCAUGAUAAAAACUAGAAACAACCUAUCUGUGAAAAUGCUUUGCAAUGUGUGGAUUCAUUUCACAGAAUUAAACCAUUGUUUUGAUUUAACAGGUUGGAAACACUCUUUUUGUAGAAUGUAUGAAGAGAUAUUUCUGAGGCCUGUUGUGAAAAACUGAGGUUUCCACAAGAAAAACUGGAAACAAGUUAUCUGAGAAAAUGCUUUAUGAUGGGUGAAUUCAUCUCACAAAAUUAAACCUUCGUUUUGAUUCAAAAGGUUGCAAACACUCUUUUUGCAGAAUCUAUGAAGGAACAUUUCUGAACCAAUUUUGGCCUAUAGUGGAAAACUGAACAUUCUGUGAUAUAAACUAGAGAAAAGAUAUCUGUGAAAAUGCUUUGCAAUGUGUGGAUUCAUCUCACUGGAUGGAACCUAUGCUUUGAUUUAGUAGGUUGGAAAUACUCAUUUUGUAGAAUCUACAAAGGAUAUUUCUGAGCCCCUUUGAGCCUGUAGUGAAAAAUCAAGGAUCCCAUGAAGAAAAACAGAAAAACACUAUCUGUCAAAAUGCUUAUUGGUGUGUGGAUUCUUCUUACCAAAUGGAACCUGUGUUUUGAUUCACCAGGUUGGAAACACUUUUUUGUAGAGUCUAUGAAGGGACAUUUCUCAGCCCAUUGAGGCCUAUAGUGAUGAACAAAAUAUCCCAUAAUAGAAGCUAGAAAAAAGCUAUUUCCAAAAAUGCUUUGCAAUGUGUGGAUUUAUCUUACAGAAUUAAACCUUUAUUUUGAUUUGACAGUCUGCAAACACUUUUUUUUGUAGAAAGUACAGAGGGACAUUUCUGAGACCAUCAAGAACUAUAGUAAAAAAAUCAAACAACCUGCCUUAAUAUUUAGAAACAAGCUAUCUGUUAAAAUGCUUUAGAAUAUUUUCAUUCAUGUCACAGAUUUCAACCUUUUUUUUGAUUCAACAAGAUAAAAACACUCUUUUAGUUGAAUCUACAAAAAGAUAUUUCAAAGUCCGUUGAGGCCUAUAGUGAAAAACUGAAUAUCCCAUGAUAAAAACUAGAAGUGAGCCCUGUGUGAAAAUGCUUUGUGAUGUGUGGAUUCAUCUCACAGAGUUAAACUUAUAUUUUUAUUCAACACCUUGGAAACACUCUUUUUGUAGCAUCUAUGAAGGGACAUUCUGAGGCCAUUGAGGCCUAUAGUGAAAAGCAGAAUAUCCUUCCUUAAAAUCUAGAAACAAUCUAUCUGUGAAGAUGAUUUAUGAUGUGAGCAUUUAUCUCACAGAUUUAAAACUAUGUUUUAAUUCAACAGGUAGGAAAAAGUCUUUUUGUAGAAUCUAUGAAAGGACACUUCUGAGCCCACGGAGACCUAUAGUGAAAAACUGAAUAUCCAGCAUUAAAAACUAGAAACAAGCUAUAUGUAAAAAUGUUUUGUGAUGUGUGGAUUCAUCUCUCCCAAUGGAACCUGUGUUUUGAUUCUCCAGGUUGGAAACACUUUUUGUGAAAUCUAUGAAGCGACAUUUCUGAGCCCAUUGAGGCAUAUUGUAAAAUUUGAAUAUUCCACGAUAAGAACUAGAAACAAGCUAUCUCUGAAAAUCCUUUUCAAUGUGUGGCUUCUCCUCACAGAGUUAAAUCUUUGUUUCAAUUCAACACCUUGAAAACACUUUUUUGGUAGAAUCUACGAAGGGACAUUUCUGACCCAUUGAGGCCUACAGUAAAAAAUGUAGGGACAUUUCUGAGCCCAUUGAAGCCUAUAGUUAAAAAACUAAUUUCUGGUGAUAAAAUCUAGAAACAAGCCAUCUGUGAAAAUGCUUUGUGAUGUAUGGAUUUAUCUCAAAAAGUUAAAACUAUGUUUUUAACCAACAGGUUGAAAUCACUCUUUUUGUAGAAUCUAUGAAAAGACGUUUCUGAGCCCACUGAGGCCUGUAGAGAAAAACUGUAUAUCCUGCAAUAAAAGCUAGAAGAAAAGCUCUCCGUGUAAAUGGUUCCCGAUGUGUGGGUUAAUCUCACAGAGUUAAACAUUUGUUUUUAUUUAACAGGUUAGAAACGUUCUUUUUGUAGAAUCUACGAAGGAAUAUUUCUGAGCCCAUUGAGGCCUAUAGCAAGAAGCCAUAUAUCCGUCAAUAAAAACUGGAAACAAGCUAUCUGUGAACAUUUUUUGUGAUGUAUGCAUUUAUCUCACCAAAUGGAACCUGUGUUUUGAUUCACCAGUUUGGAAACACUCUUUUGUGGAAUGCAUGAAGGGACAUUUCUUAGCCAAUUGAGGUGUAUAGUGAUAUACCAAAUAUCCCGGGAUAGAAACUAGAAACAAGUUAUCUGCAAAAAUGCUCUGUGAUGUGUGGAUUUAUCUCACAGAGAUGAAGCUUUGUUUUGAUUCAACAUGUUGGAAACACUUUUUUUGUAGAAUCUACAAAGGGACAUUUCUGAGACCAUUAAAAACUACAGUAAAAAAAGGUAUAAUGCACCUUAAAAUCUAGAAACAAAGCUAUCUGUGAAAAUGCUUUGCAAUAUGUGGAUUCAUGUCACAGAUUUAAACCUUUGUUUUGAUUGAACAAAUUGGAAACACUGUUUUAGUAGAUUAUAUAAAGGGACAUUUCAAAGCCCAUUGAAGCCUAUAGUGAAAAAUCAAAAAUCCCGUGAGCAAAAAUAGAAACAACCUCUGUGGGAAAAUGCUGUGUGAUACGUUCAUUCAUCUCACAGGGAUAACCUUUGUUUUUAUUCAACACCUUGGAAACAUUCUUUUUGUAGAGUCUAUGAAAAAAAUUUCUGAGCCAAUUGAAGUCUGUAGUGAAAAAGCUAAUAUCCCAUUUUAAAAUAUAAAACAAACUAUGAAAAUGAGUUUUGAUGUGUGGAUUCAUCGAGAGUUAGACCUUUGUUCUAAAUCAACAGGUUAAGAACACUCUUUUUGUAGAAUCUAUGAAAAAACAUUUCUGAGCCCGUUGAGGCCUAUUGCGAAGUGAAUCUCUUGCAAUAAAAAGCAGAAACCAGCUCUCUGUGAAAUAAUUUUGUGAUGUACAAAUUUAUCUUGCAGAGUUAAAACUUUGUUUUAAUUCAACAAGUUGAAACCUUCUUUUUGUAGAAUCUGCAAAGAGACAUUUCUGAGCCCAUUGAGGCCAAUAGCAAAAAAAUGAAUAUCCCACAAUAAAAACUAGAAACAAAACAGCUGUGUAAAUGCUUUGCAAUAUGUGGAUUCGUCUCACUGAGUUAAACCUAUGUUUUGAUUCAACAAGUUAAAAAACUUGUUUUUGUAGUAUCUUCGAAGGGACAAUUCUGAGCCUAUGGAGAUUAUAGCAAAAAACUGAAUAUCCUGCAAUAAAAACUAGAAACAAGAUAUCCGUGGAAAUGCUUUGAGAUGUGUAGAUUUAUUUCACAGAAUUAAACCUUUGUUUUGAUUUAACAGGUUGGAACCACUCUAUUUUAAGAAUCUAUGAAGAAAUAUCUUUGUCCCUAUUGUACACUAUAGUGGACAACUGAAUACUUCAUGACAAAAACUAGAAACAAGCUAGCUGUGAAAAUGCUUUGCAAUGGGUGAAUUCAUCUCACUCAGUUAAACCUUCGUUUUGAUUCAACAAGGGUGAAACACUCUUUUGGUAGAAUCUACAAAGAAACAUUUAUGAGCCCCUUGAGGACUAUAGUGAAAAAAUGAAUCUCCUGCAUUAAUAUCUAGAAACAAUCUAUUUGUGAAAAUGCUGUGUGAUGCAUGGAUCCAUCUCACAGAUUUCAAACUUUAUUUUGAUUCAACAGGCUGGAAACACUCUUGUUAUAGAAGCUACGAAGGGUCAUUUCUGAACCCAUUGAGGCCAAUAGUGAAAAACUAAAUAUCCUGCAAUAAACCUAGAAAAAAUCUAUCUGCGAAAAUACUUUGUGUAGUGUGGAUGAGUGUCUCAGGGUUAAACAUUUGUUUUUAUUCACCAGGUUCGAAACACUCUUUUUGUUGAACAGACAAAGGGACAUUUCUUAGCCCAGUUAGGCCUAUAAAGGUAAACCGAAUAUCCCGUGAUACAUAGUAGAAACAAGCUAUCUGCAAAAAUGCUUUGUGAAUUGUAGAUUCAUCUCACAGAAUUAAGCCUUUGUUUUAAUUCAACAGGUUAAAAACACUAUUUUUGUAGACUCUACGAAGAAACAUUUCUGAAACCAUUGAAACCUAUGGGGGAAAAAAACCCCCGAAAUUCCUGUGAUAAGAAAUGGAAAGCAGCUAUCUGUGAAAAUGCUUUGUAAUGUGUGGAUUCUUCUCACAGAGUUAAACCUUUGUUCUGAUUCAACAUUGUUCAGAACACUCUUUUUGUAGAAUCUACAGAGAUACUUUUUAGCAUUUUGAGGCCUCUAGUGAAAAACCGAAUGUCCUGCAAUAGAAACUGGAAACAACCUUCUGUGAAAAUGCUUUGUGAUUCGUCUAUUCAUCUCAAAGAAUGAAACUUGUGCUUUGAUUCAACAGGUUGGAAAACCCUUUUUGUAGAAUCUACGUAGGAACAUUUCUGAGCCCAUUGAGGCCUCUAGUGAAAAAACUGAAUAUCCCAGAAUUAAAACUAUAAACAAGCUAUCUGUGAAGAAGCUUUGUAAUAUGUGCAUUCAUCUAACAGAUAUAAGCGUGUAUUUUGAUUUGCCUGGUUGGGAACACUCUUUUUGUACAGUCUAUAAAGAAACAUUUCUGAGUGCAUUGAGUCAUAUGUUGAAAAAUCGAAUAUCUCGUGAUAAAAACUAGGCAGGAGGUAUCUGUGAAAAUGCUUUGAGAUGUGUGGGUAUUGGCCUCACAGAGUUAAACUUUUGUUUUGAUUCAACAGUUUGGAAACAUACUUUGUAGAAUCUACAAUGACAUAUUUCUGAGCCCAUUGAGGCCUGUAGUGAAAAACCGAAUAUCCCAUGAUAAAAACUCAAAACAAGCGAUAUGUGAAAAUGCUUUGUGACGUGUGGUUCAUCUCAUAGAGUUAAACCUGGUUUUGAUCCACUACAUUGGAAACACUCUUAUUGUAGAAUCUACAAAAAAAAAUUUCUGAGACCAUUGAGGUCUCUAGUGAAAAACUGAAUAUCCCAUGAUAAAAACUAGAUACAAGCUAUCUGUGAAAAUGCUUUGCAAUGUGUGGAUUUGUCUCACAAAGUUAAACCUGUGUUUGAUUCAACGGGUUGGAAACACUUUUUUUGUAGAAUCUAUGAAGAAACAUUUCUGAGACCAUUGAAGCCUAUAGUAAAAAAUUGAAUAUCCUGUGAUAUAAAUGAGAAACAAGUUAUCUACGAAAAUGUAUAUUAAUCUCACUGAAUGCAACCUGUGUUUUACUUCACCAGGUUAAAGAUGCUCUGUUGGUAAAAUCUGUGAAGGGACAUUUCUGAGCACAUUGAGGCCUAUAGUGAAAAAACGAAUAUCCUGCUAUAAAAACUAGAAACAAGCUAUGUGUGAAAAUGCUUUGCAAUGUGUGGAUUCACCUCACAGAUUUAAACCUUUGUUUUGUUUCAACAGGUUGGAAACACUCUUUUUGUAGUUGAACGAAGGGACAUUUUUGAGUCCCUUGAGGCCUAUAGUAAUGAACAGAAUAUCCUGCAAUAAAAAUUAGAAAGAAGUUAUCUGGGAAAAUGCUUUGUGUUGUGUGGACUUAUCUCACAGUGUCAAACUAUUGUUUCCAUGCAACACUAUAAAUGCACACUUUUUGUAGAAUCUAUGAGGGGACAUUUCUGAGCCCAUUGAGGCCUAUAAAGAAAAACCAAACUUCCCAUGUUAAAAGCUAGAAACAAGCUAUUUGCGAAAAUGCUUUAUGGUAUGUGGAUUCAUCUCAUUGAAUGAAACCUGUGUUUUGAUUCACCACGUUUGAAACACUCUUUUGAUAGAAUCCACGAAGGGACAUUUCACUGUAUGAGGCAUAUAGUGAAAAAC